CGGCAGGAGAGGUCUGCGCGCCAUGUGGGACCCUCCUCUGGUGGCCGGGGAGCAGCCGGGGAUCGAACCGGUGCUGCAGAGGCUGCGGGCGGCUUCGCAACCCAGCGCUCAACCGCUGCGCCACCGGGGAGGACCAAAAGUGUUUCAUCUUUGCACCAAAAAUUGAGAAAAUCGUCUUACAGCUGUUACCUGAUCCAGCAGAGAAGUCAUUCAUGGACCAAUGAAACCCCAAUGUGUUUCUGUUGCUUUGCUUUCAUAGGCUGGCCGUGGGUGCAGUGUUUCAAGCAAAACUAGUGAACGUCUUCGGUGAGAAUCGGUGGACCGUGUGGAAUUUACAGUAAAGAGUAUUUGCAUAUUUUAUUGUUAUUUGUGGAUUUUGUGCUACAAUUUCUUUAUUGGAGUAAAAAAUACAGCGAGUGAAUGUAUGUAUCUAGGUGGUCUCCGGCUUACGGUUGUUCAACCUAGUUUUUUGACUAAUGAGGCUUUGAAAGUUACAAGCAUUCAGUAGAAAUAAUACUUUGAAUUUUGAUCUUUUCCAGGCUUGUCACAUGUGGCUCACAAGGAUGUGCAGCGCUGUCGGCCGGACAACACGAUGGUGACAGGGUAGGGCUUGAGCUGCCCCGUCGGCCACGCAGUCACACAGAUCCUUCACUUGGGGGGACAUCAGUGACCCUGCUGGGAGCGGUGGUGCAGGAUGGGGAGCGUGGCAUGGAAGCAGAUCCUCAGCGCAUCCAGCCUCCGAGAGACCCAGAAACAACCUCCCAGCUUAGCUGCCCCUGCAUUCUCGAACUUCACAAACUGAGGUAAUAGAUGUUUGUUUUUAGCUGCUGAGUUUUUGGGGCAAUUUGUCACAGAGCAGUAGGUGAUUACUGAGGCGAUGGUUUAGGUGAUCGUAAACAGAAGUGGUGACAAGUAGAGGGACCCUGACACACAUUUUGGGCAGGUCCACUUAGAAAUCUCAAGCCUUGGGGGAAUGGGGGGUGGUGUGCAGUUUAGGAGGCGGGCAGUUGCAAAAGCCAGGUUCCGGCGAGACGCUGACAGGUGCACGGCACUUAAAGUCAGGGUCACUUGUGCGAGGUUGGUAAGACGGAGACGAGAAAUAAGCCAACCUCCUUGCCAGCGUGGAGGGCGGCCCCUAAGAGGACAUGAGCAGACGGGCGUAGACAGAGCAGAGGCGAGCAGAGGAGCCAGCCACACGGCUCUCAGGGGUUUUGCUGAAGGCAGGGGAUGGGGCCAGGCAGCUGUUAUGCUGAUGGGAGCAAUUCAGAAGGGACAGCGGUGGCCUGGCUCUAGGCCAAGGGCCCCUGGCCCUCUUGGGCGCUCCCCUGCCACCUUCCUGGCCAGCUGUCCUGGGGAAGCACCGCAGAUGUGAGAGGUAUUUCAUGUAAAACAGUUCUAGAAGGCAAAGAAAAUGACUUGGACCUGUUGGGUUUGGCUUCAUAUUGGACUUUAUUGGGAAAAGUUAGUGUAAAAAACAUUCAAAUUCAUAAGAUUUAAAUAAGACAGCAAUAUUAUUCCUUGCAGCUAUAGUAAUCGCUCUAGUAAUCACACAUAAGGUAAAAGUCUAAAUUACCGCCUAAGCAAACACUACUUUGUCAGGCUUCCGUUGCAAGCCCGAGGCAGGAAACCUUGCAAUUAUUAGAACUGGGCCCAAUGAUGAAUUUGCAUUUGAAGCUGAAGAAAGGUUGGAAAAGCAUGUUCUGAUUACGGCGUCACAACAUCCUAGCCUGGAAAAAAGCUACUUUAUUAAUGUCUUGCAGCAGAGUACAUUAGUCAUUGUAACCAUGCAGUAAAAUUCUUAUUUCAUGUCAUAAAGAGAGUAAUCAGUUUUCUUCAUGAUACAUUAUGUUUCGCUGGGUUUUGCGUAGUCUGUCCCUCUCAAGACCUUUCUGGGACCAUCUUUUCUCCAAGGGAUGGUCUCCUAAGACGUCCCGGCUGAUCACUCUGGGUCGCCUUUGGUCACUUCAUACCUGGGCUGGUGGGAGCCCCCGCGGCCAGCCAAGGUGGAAUCCGGUUUCCGUCUCUCAAACCCUCACGCCAGCACUCAGAAGAGGCAUCACAAGUUGGUCACGGGUGUUAACAAGUGAAUGUGGGCUUCUCUUUGGUUGUAGAAUUCUUAAGCUUAUAAAAAAAUAUAGCUAGAAAUAUGCUUCUGAAUUUUAAAAGUAUUUCUGACUGACUUAAACAUAAAAUUCACCACCUGGCCAGGUUGAAAAACUGCCUAUUUAUUUCCCCGUGGAAGCUAACAUCAGUGUUCUGUUGAGCAAAUACAUUUGAGUGAAGAGCAGUGACUGAUCUUUAGGAACCCCGAGGGGCAGGGGCGGCCGGCGGGGGCAGCCUUAGAUACUGUCCAUGGCUUUGAACUCACUCAGGGCCUGCACGGGGUUCACGUGCUUCUUCUGAGAGGCCCGUUUAAUCUUGGUCUGUGUCUCAUCCUGUUUCUCUCUCUUCACCAAGGGUUUCUUCUCGGGUGCCUUCAUCUUCCACGACACAGCGGGGAGGUUAAGGGACGCCAUACCCUGAGACUUCUGGUAUUUGGUGGAGGCCACAUAGGACGCCUUCACUGUCUGCACCACGGCGUUCAUCAAGUUCUUGGCGGCCUGGAUCAGGGACAUGGCGCUGUCCACCUAAGAGGCACAGACAGGGCGACCUCUGAGGAAGAAAAGGGAGCAGUAAGAAAACCGUAAGGCACGAUUCCCCUUGCGUACCCCCACUCAACGAGUGGGAGGAGGAGCUGCCGCUUCCGAGUGACCGCCGAGCCGUGCCAAGGAGCACCACUAACAGCCCCAGAGGACAGGUGUCGGAUCGGCUGUGCAGGCACAGGCACCGUGGCUUGAACCAGGGAGCCCCCUCCCUCAUUUAGACCCUUGGGGUAACUGCUCCCAGAGCGCGGGCCGGCUGGUGAGUAAGGGGUAGCAGUGUGACUGAGCUCCUGUCGCUUUGUAUGGACCGUCUGUGGGAUUAGCAGAAGCCACAGGGAAUCAGUGGAGCCCAGUACAACGAGCUGUCCUCUUCCCCUGCCAGCGUGACAUGGGGUGCAGAACUGUGACAUGGUAAAGAGAGCGACUGCUCCGACACUCUGAAGCCUAUCUAUGUUGUCUUUCAAUUUUUAAACAGGCUCCAUUCUUCUCUGGGGUAGAAGACAAGACAAGGAAGAUAUAUAAAAAUAUUUUUUCCCAGCGAGAGGCCAGCCCUAUAAUGGCUCCCAGCUGCCACCACCGUGCCAGGCUAAACAGAUCUGCAGUUCAGCAGGGAAUGGACAACGGGCAGCCCUUGGCCUCCAAGAUGAAAUCUCAGGCUUUUU